rnacentral:sRNA from 1 species
AUUUCUUCCACUACAUGAUGUCAUUUGUAAAGUUGAACCGAAGCUAGUCAAUAGUGCAGACAAUGUUAGUGGCAGUGCUGUUUCCAACAACAGCAUGUCAGCUGCUGUCAUGUCACUAAGAAGUUUUGGCAAUACCAAUGAACUGUCCAAAUCGGCCGAAGACUUUGUCCACAUGGUAGGAAUGAGAUCUAGGACCAGGCAAAGCUUUAAGGCCGAGAGUGACAUUAAAAAUCUUGCCAUGAAAUCUGUGGAAAUAGAUGCUAAGAAAUGUGCUGAAGAUUUGGUGUGACCUUGUGCUACG